GAUGAACGCUGGCGGCGUGCCUAAUACAUGCGAGUAGAACGCUGAAGGAGGAGCUUGCUCUUCUGGAUGAGUUGCGAACGGGUGAGUAACGCGUAGGUAACCUGCCUGGUAGUGGGGGAUAACUAUUGGAAACGAUAGCUAAUACCGCAUGACAACAGUUAUUGCAUGAUAACUGUUUAAAAGGGGCAACUGCUCCACUACCAGAUGGACCUGCGUUGUAUUAGCUAGUUGGUGAGGUAACGGCUCACCAAGGCGACGAUACAUAGCCGACCUGAGAGGGUGAUCGGCCACACUGGGACUGAGACACGGCCCAGACUCCUACGGGAGGCAGCAGUAGGGAAUCUUCGGCAAUGGACGGAAGUCUGACCGAGCAACGCCGCGUGAGUGAAGAAGGUUUUCGGAUCGUAAAGCUCUGUUGUAAGAGAAGAACGAGUGUGAGAGUGGAAAGUUCACACUGUGACGGUAUCUUACCAGAAAGGGACGGCUAACUACGUG
rnacentral:rRNA from 1 species